GCCGGGUGUGGUGGUGCACACCUGCAAUCCCAGCUACUUGGGAGGCUGAGGCACAAGAAUCACUUGAGCCUGGGAGGUGGAGAUUGCAGUGAACUGAGAGGGUGUCACUGCACUCCAGCCAGGGCAACAGAGUGAGACUCUGUCUCAA
rnacentral:SRP_RNA from 1 species